ensembl:lncRNA
CAGGGGUCAGAACCUUCCAGAAAGGCAGCCGACUGAAACGCUGCAUCGAUGCAUCACUACUAGUCAAAAGUUUGGACACGUUCUCUCAUUCUAUUCAAUGACUGCGCACUGUGUCAAGUGGCUGCGGAGGCGGGUGCACAUUGGAGAACACCCAAACGGAUGAAACGGACCAAAACGGACGUGCUGCUUCACAGAGACAAACGCAGUAGAUUCAGCCGGGUCGAAAAGCAGAGGACACGAGCCACAGGCCACACUUCACAGGCUCUGUUUAAUGUGGUCAUGGAGGAGCAAAGCAGUUGCCAUCGCGUUGCCUUCCAGGGAAAUAUCAGCGCUCUGCAACUCUCAGCUCAGCGGAGGGAUUAGCCCGGCCUUGGAUUUAAAAGGGGUGGGGGCGCGUUUUUACCCUACAGGGGGUGGCAUGUUUCUAUUUAUGGCGCGAGCUGCAUGAACUCAAGAUUGGUGUCUGCAGGCGUCCGCUGGAGAGUCUCGGGCCCCUAUUUUUGACAACAAAAAAAAAUCAAAAUGCCGCGG